UACGUAGGUGGCAAGCGUUGUCCGGAAUUAUUGGGCGUAAAGCGCGCGCAGGCGGUCCUUUUAAGUCUGAUGUGAAAGCCCACGGCUCAACCGUGGAGGGUCAUUGGAAACUGGGGGGACUUGAGUGCAGGAGAGAAAAAGUGGAAUUCCACGUGUAGCGGUGAAAUGCGUAGAGAUGUGGAGGAACACCAGUGGCGAAGGCGGGCUUCUGGCUAAUGACUGACGCUGAGGUGCGAAAGCUAGGGGAGCGAACGGG
rnacentral:rRNA from 1 species